CAACUCUACUAACCUACUUUUGUCCCUAUCACUGGAGAAUGGGUUUGGUGCUUUGAGCUGUGUUUCUACAUAAAAAAGAAGGAAUCAAAGUGAUGCUGGUGUGACAAUAUAACAUUUGAAGCUGCUCCAAACAACUUUGACUGUAAGAAAAAGGCCAAGAGAAUACAAGAGGCUCUAACCAAGGACUCUGACUUCACUAAGCCACUGAAACAUUCCUGGCACUACCUACCUCCUGCCUUUUCGUUAUGGGAGGAAACCCUAUUGGUUAGGUCACUGGCAAGAACCAUGAAUGGAGCUUCAGGACUGGAAGUUGCUCGAG
rnacentral:lncRNA from 10 species